CGCAAGAAGAAGAGGAAGAGGAUUUUUAUAACGGCGAAGAAUACAGUUAUGAAUACGAGGAAGAACUUUCCCCAGAUUAUCCUGCGACCUCUCAGGAGAGGAAGGACAACAGACAGCUUGAAGUUCAAACAGAUGCAAUUCCCCAUCCAAUGGAUAAAAAGGAGGAACAAUUACCCACACACAGUCCUGCCCAGUUAGAAACGUUGACGGGAACCUCCAGUUAUCCUCUAACAUCCUCCACAAACAAACAAAUAGAUGCAGAGGAUGAAGUUUCACUUCCUACACCUCCCAUCACAACAGAAGAACCAGACAAGGUGCCUCAAUCCCAAAUCAGGGUGAAGAAAAGUGCCCCCUGGC
rnacentral:lncRNA from 1 species